rnacentral:rRNA from 1 species
GGAAUUUUCCGCAAUGGGCGAAAGCCUGACGGAGCAACGCCGCGUGAGGGAUGAAGGCCUCUGGGCUGUAAACCUCUUUUAUCAAGGAAGAAGAUCUGACGGUACUUGAUGAAUAAGCCACGGCUAAUUCCGUGCCAGCAGCCGCGGUAAUACGGGAGUGGCAAGCGUUAUCCGGAAUUAUUGGGCGUAAAGCGUCCGCAGGCGGUCUGUCAAGUCUGCUGUUAAAGCGUGGAGCUUAACUCCAUUUCGGCAGUGGAAACUGACAGACUAGAGUGUGGUAGGGGCAGAGGGAAUUCCCGGUGUAGCGGUGAAAUGCGUAGAUAUCGGGAAGAACACCAGUGGCGAAGGCGCUCUGCUGGGCCAUAACUGACGUUCAUGGACGAAAGCCAGGGGAGCGAAAGGGAUUAGAUACCCCUGUAGUC